CGUAUUGCAAUAGUACAGUGCGCAGGAUUGAAUCCUUUGCAGACGACUUAGUUGUCUAGCCGGGUCGUGUAAGCAGUCGAGUAGCCUUGUAGUUACGAGCUGCUGAGCGUAA
rnacentral:rRNA from 1 species